GACGUGGGGCGCGAGCGUUGUCCGGAUUUAUUGGGCGUAAAGAGCUCGUAGGCGGCUUGUCACGUCGGGUGUGAAAGCCCGGGGCUUAACCCCGGGUCUGCAUUCGAUACGGGCUAGCUAGAGUGUGGUAGGGGAGAUCGGAAUUCCUGGUGUAGCGGUGAAAUGCGCAGAUAUCGGGAGGAACACCAAUGGCGAAGGCAGCUCGCUGGGACGGUACUGACGCUGAGGCGCGAAAGCGUGGGGAGCAAACAGG
rnacentral:rRNA from 1 species